UCUGCUCUUUUCUUUCGUGUAGCGAUAUGCAACACGGUGUUACCAAACUUGUCAGGAAGCAUGACGAUAGCCGGAUCAGCUCGAAGGAGUAAUCUCACGACUUCUGAGCUAAUUCCUUUCACAGCCAUAUGUAAAGACGUUUGUCCUUUCUUGUCUGUUCUUCUUGCUAACUGCGGAUCUUUAUCAAGCAACGUUCUUACAAUAUCUACAUGACCUUGACGUGCAGCUAGGUGAAGCGCGUUUUUCCCAUUAGAUCUUGAUAUCUCAAGCAAGCUUGAGUCUUUAGCAAGCAACUCAUUAACUACUUCUGAAUGCCCUCGUGUUGCAGCAGAAACAAGUGGUGUUGCGUUUGAUUGAGCUACUGUUUUACUCAAUAGAGGUUCAUGCUCUAGCAGUAACUGAACAAUAGCUGCAAUAAAAGAAUACCACGGUUAGAAAAAAACAAUGCAAUCAUUCUUAUUAAAUCCAAACUUAUCAUAGACUUCCAACUUUGAAACCAAUUGACGAUAAUUGGAUUAGUCUUAUCCUUUUAUAUAUUAGUUAAUUAUUUCUCCAACUAUCAAUGUGAGAUUUCAUUCAUUCAUUGAAAUUUUUGGUUAGUGAGACUCACCUCGAUGGCCUUGACUGCAAGCAAUAUGUAAAGCGUCGAAUCCAGAAAGAUUCUUCUGCAUAAGAGACUCUUUGGUGGUAUAACACAAAAGCUCUUUCACAACAUCAAUAUUGCCUUUCUCUGCUGCUGUAAAAAGUGGUGUCUCUCCUAACUCAUUCACCUCGUUUACCACUGAUGUCAUUAUUUGUGCCACCUUUUAAGUUUACAACACAAAACAAGAUAAUCAAUACAGUUUCAUUUUGAGCUUUAAUAUGAGGAGGAAGAGGAAGGUUUCAUCAUACCUCGUCAUCAAAAUCAGAUCCUGAAAUGGUACCAGUGAUCUGAGAAUCAAUGUCACUAAGAAUCUGCUUAACAGCAGCCAAGUCUCCUCUUUGAGCAGCUAGGUGAAGCUCGGUGUCGUUGUGGCGG
rnacentral:lncRNA from 1 species